UACGUAGGGUGCGAGCGUUAAUCGGAAUUACUGGGCGUAAAGCGUGCGCAGGCGGUUCGCCGUGUCCGAUGUGAAAGCCCCGGGCUUAACCUGGGAAUGGCAUUGGAAACUGGCGGGCUUGAGUGUGGCAGAGGGGGGUGGAAUUCCACGUGUAGAGGUGAAAUUCGUAGAUAUUAGGAAGAACACCAGUGGCGAAGGCGGCUCACUGGCCCGGUACUGACGCUGAGGCGCGAAAGCGUGGGGAGCAAACAGG
rnacentral:rRNA from 1 species